AUUGAACGCUGGCGGCAGGCCUAACACAUGCAAGUCGAGCGGGUGAAUCGAGCUUACUCCUGGAUUCAGCAGCGGACGGUUGAGUAAUGCCUAUGAAUCUGCCUGGUAGUGGGGGAUAACGGCGUGAAACGGGCGCUGAUACCGCGGACGUCGUGAGGUAGGAAAAGGGGGGGCUUCGGACCUCACGCGAUGAUAGUAGCCUAGGUCGGAUUAGAUAGGUGGGGGGGUAAAGGCCUACCAAGGUGACGCUCCGUAACUGGUAUCAGGGGAUGAUCACUUAGCCUGGAACUGAGAAAGGGCCGAGACUCCUAGGGGAGGACGCAGUGGAGAAUCUUGGAGGAUGGGGGAAAGCGUGAUCCUGGAAUGCCGCGUGUAUGCAGAAGGUGCCAGGAUUGUAAAGCAAUUUAAGUUGGGAGGAAGGGAAGUAAGUUAAUACGUUGCUGUUUUGACGGUACCAGCAGAAUAAGCCCCGGCUAACUUCGUG
rnacentral:rRNA from 1 species